AUCUGCUCCCAGAGCCAGCCAAUCUCCCACUGCUGCAGAUAGUGGGUGUUGUGUCUCCAUAUAGGGGCUGGUGCACACAGAGGAUAAUAAUCGACUUCUUCUGCCUGUCACCCCGUCGCUCAGCUAUCUGUCUCUGGAUUCUCUCUCUGCCAUUGCAUGGACGAUUGUACUCGCUCUGCCAUUCAUCCCCCAUACCAGUGACUCUGAGGUGCUGGGCAGGGCUGAGCUGGGAUCCGUUCACCUGGUUACCGCUGUCCUUGAUUUCGUACCCGCAGAAUAAUUCCCGGAGCUGUCGCUGGACACCUCAUCGACAUAGUCAUAGGUAACCUUCUCCUCCAAGCACCUCUGGGAUGAAAUCUCCUCCCUGUCCUUACAGAAGAUGACAUGGGUGGCUGGGGUCCAGGAGAACAUGGAACACUGGAGCAGCACGGAGUCUCCCUACCAGACAGAAGUCUGGCUCAGGUAGAAGAUUGGGGCAGGGAGAGCUCCUGGCAAGGGGAAUGGGUGAAAGCCAUUAAUGGGGCUGUCGAGCAACAACUGGGUGAACAGAUCCCAGCUCAGCCCUGCCAAGUACCUCAGUGUCACUGGUCAUGGGGGUGAUGAGCAGAGUAAGUACAAUUGUCCAUGCAAUGGUAGAGAGAGAAUCCACAGACAGAUAGCUGUGCAACAAUGGUGAUGGGCAGAAGAAGUAAGAUUUUUAUUCUCUGUAUGUACCAGCCCCUAUAUGGAGACAGUAGUGGGAGGUUGGAUGGCUCUGUGAGCAGAUACUGGUUAUAGAGUUAGAGGCAGCGUAGCCAAGCAUAUAAAUCUGGCACAUUCCCUGUGAAAGGCAGUGAGACAAAGUGGAUGAGAAUGGGGUUUGCCAUUUUAGAGCCCUCUGCCCUAUUCCCAGUCUGCUCAAGUGACCUUGUGCAACCCUUCCUUGUCUAUACAAGGGGUGAAUGAUGGUGUCACCUAUACCGUAGGGCCCAUGAGCUCUCAGCUAGUACUAGGGGCUGUGAAGAGCACAGAGAAGUUACUAACACUCAGUGGAAGAGCUGGGCCUAGAGCACAAGGUCUCCUGGCUCGUAGCUGAGUGCCACCCUCAGGCUCCAGGAAACUUUGUGGGGAGUCCAUGAUCCCCCCCACAAUUCUGCAAAGGGUGACAGGGCUGCCAAAUGCCCAUGAAGCGUGUGACACCUGGCAUGUCUGAAGGAGCCAGGAUGAGCCCCUUUGGGGAGGUUUCCAUUCAAGGAACAGUCAUGUCCCAUUUGACUGGUGUAGGGGGCUGGGCCUCAGCCAUCGCAGCCAUGUUUCUCACACACUGAGUGUCACCUGGAGGCACUGACAAGCCCAGAUUCUCCUUGUCCCCAUUGCACAGACUAGGCGAGCAGCAGUGGAGAGGAGUCAGACCCCACAGCUCACAGACGGCUCUUGGGCAAGACCCCGGGGAUCUGAGCCCAUCUCUAUCCCCCCAGCUCUCCCCUUGCUGCAUAGAGACUUUGGGUCAAACUCAUCCCUGGGGAAACUCCUCUGCCUGCAGCAGUUACCUCAGGGGGAGACCCAGCUCUCUGCAGUUAAACCCAGCCUGUGCAGAGGGGCCAGCCCCAGGGCCAGGCAG
rnacentral:lncRNA from 1 species